GAAGAUGACACCUUUAUCUCUGGCAUGCCUCCUCUUCGUAGCUUCCUUUUCUGGUGAAGCACUGGCUGCUACUCCGAGCAAAUUGGUCCUCGGGAUCGCCAGCAACCUAGGAUGUGGAGUCCCCGCAGACGUAAACGACUGCGUCCUAGCCAAGCUCCGGUCCUUUAUAGACAAAAGCAAAAAUGCCCUGAUUGAAGCGGCCAAGACCAGGUACGGCGGCGUGGGCUCCGACCCCAUUUCGAGGAUCGCGUUCCCAAAGAGGACUGUGGGCAUCUUCUCCGUCUCUGGUAGCCGCAUCAAAGUGACCGGACUCUCCACGCUCCGCGUCACCCACGUAAAGCUGUUUGGCGAUUCUGUGCUGACGAUUCUUCAGGUGAAGAAGUUGGUCAUCAAGGGCCAGUUCCUCUUGCAAUA